UUUACCUUUUUAUUAAACUAAUGGUUAUUAUAAACACCGGCCAGUAGGCAACAUCGCCAAAAGCGAACAUAAAUCUCAGAUGUAUGACUUAGAUUCCUUUUAGCAAUAUUGUUGUAUGACUCUUUUAUUUUAGCAUCUCGUGUUCUGUUUUGGUUUGUUUUCGGUCACAAUGAUUCCCUUAGUGCCAUUGUGGGUGUCACAAUGCAGAGGGACAUCAGGCUGUGAAUGAAGACAGAGGCAGUUUAAACAAACGGAGCUCUUUCUUUCCUUUCCCGUCCAUUGUGCUGUGAAUGGGCCUUCUGCACUCUGCUGCUAGGAAACGGCUUUGCAAAGCCCUACUCCAGUAAAUGGUCUGGAGAGAAAGGGACCCCAAUAAACAGCCUAAGUAUUGGAGAAAAAAGGGGGACAAAUUUAGGCAAAUGUUCUUUCACCUUCACAUCAGCACAUUUCCUAAUCUCCAAAUGUAAGACAUACUUUCGAGCUUUUCAACAGUUUCCUUCCUUCUUGUCAUUUUAAUUUUUGAUCCCUCCCCUCCCCCACCUCACAGGAAACGUGGAGUGGGGACAGCACUGGCUCACCAUCGAGAUCUGUUUUCAAAAUUCUAUUUUGUCAUAGGAAAAUAGAAUGGGGCCCAGGGCUG
rnacentral:lncRNA from 1 species